rnacentral:misc_RNA from 1 species
GAGACUGUUCCUGGGAAAAAAAUUACUGGUCAGAUGCAUCGAACUUUUUUGUGUAUUCAUGAUUGCAAUCUGGCGGUUUUGAUUUAUAUAGUUCAGUUUUCCCUCCCUCUUCUAAAUAACCACCAUGAAAAAGUAGGCAUGCAUCUAGUCUGGCCUCGACAGUGUGAAAGGAGGCAUCUGCAUGUCUGACAAAAUGUUUUCCUGCCUGUUUCGUAUAUCUGAUAAAAAAAUUUCUUCUCAUGGAAGUCAGGUGGAACUAUCUUAUACUCCUUUAUCCUUUUUUAUCUAUCGUUUAAAGUUUUGGCACACGCAUUGAGAAAACCAUUUGCUAUCAUUAACAGAAUGAUAAGGGAUAUUUGACUAAGUUACCUGUAGCUGUUUCCCAAAUGAUUAGCUAUUGACUAUAUCCGCCCUAUUAGAGUAGUAAAG